GAUGAACGCUGACAGAAUGCUUAACACAUGCAAGUCAACUUGAACUUCGGUUUGGGUGGCGGACGGGUGAGUAACGUGUAAAGAACUUGCCUCACAGCUAGGGACAACAUUUGGAAACGAAUGCUAAUACCUGAUAUUAUGAUUAUAUGGCAUCGUAUAAUUAUGAAAGCUAUAUGCGCUGUGAGAGAGCUUUGCGUCCCAUUAGCUAGUUGGAGAGGUAACAGCUCACCAAGGCGAUGUUGGGUAGCCGGCCUGAGAGGGUGAUCGGCCACAAGGGGACUGAGACACGGCCCUUACUCCUACGGGAGGCAGCAGUGGGGAAUAUUGGACAAUGGACCGAGAGUCUGAUCCAGUAAUUCUGUGUGCACGAUGAAGUUUUUCGGAAUGUAAAGUGCUUUCAGUUGGGAAGAAAAAAAUGACGGUACCAACAGAAGAAGUGACGGCUAAAUACGUG
rnacentral:rRNA from 1 species